CCUACGGGGGGCAGCAGUGGGGAAUAUUGCACAAUGGGGGAAACCCUGAUGCAGCGACGCCGCGUGCGUGAAGAAGUAUUUCGGUAUGUAAAGCUCUAUCAGCAGGGAAGUAAAAAGACGGUACCUGACUAAGAAGCCCCGGCUAACUACGUGCCAGUAGCCGCGGUAAUACGUAGGGGGCAAGCGUUAUCCGGAUUUACUGGGUGUAUAGGGAGCGUAGACGGUAUGGCAAGUCUGAAGUGAAAGCCCAGGGCUUAACCCUGGGACUGCUUGGGAAACUGUUAGACUAGAGUGCUGGUGAGGUAAGUGGAAUGCAUGGUGUAGCGGUGAAAUGCGUAGAUAUUA
rnacentral:rRNA from 1 species